rnacentral:misc_RNA from 1 species
GAUGAAGAACGUAGCGAAAUGCGAUAAGUAAUGUGAAUUGCAGAAUUCAGUGAAUCAUUGAAUCUUUGAACGCACAUUGCGCCCGCCAGUAUUCUGGCGGGCAUGCCUGUUCGAGCGUCAUUACAACCCUCAGGCCCCCGGGCCUGGCGUUGGGGAUCGGCGGAGCCCCCCGUGGGCACACGCCGUCCCCCAAAUGCAGUGGCGGUCCCGCCGCAGCUUCCAUCGCGUAGUAGCUAACACCUCGCGACUGGAGAGCGGCGCGGCCACGCCGUAAAACACCCAACUCUUCUGAAGUUGACCUCGAAUCAGGUAGGAAUACCCGCUGAACUUAAGCAUAUCAAUAAGCGGAGGA